UACGUAGGGUGCAAGCGUUAAUCGGAAUUACCGGGCGUAAAGCGUGCGCAGGCGGUUUUGUAAGUCUGUCGUGAAAGCCCCGGGCUCAACCUGGGAAUUGCGAUGGAGACUGCAAGGCUUGAAUCUGGCAGAGGGGGGUAGAAUUCCACGUGUAGCAGUGAAAUGCGUAGAGAUGUGGAGGAACACCGAUGGCGAAGGCAGCCCCCUGGGUCAAGAUUGACGCUCAUGCACGAAAGCGUGGGGAGCAAACAGG
rnacentral:rRNA from 1 species